GGGGUCAUUUUCACUAAGGGUGAAUGAAUCCAUCUCCCUUUACUUCCUGGAAAUCUGGGUCUGCCUCCUAGAACAUGUGACAGGAACUUCCCAGGAUGCAUCUGUGAGGCCAGAGUCACAUCACCAGUGCCUCAGGAAACCAGGAAGUGGAAAAACUGUCCUCAUCACCUCGCACAGAUGUUCCUUCACCACGGGCCUGAAUUUUAUGUAGAACUCCACAGGUCCAGGACCUCCAUCAGCACAUCCACCACGACAGUCCGCAAGUUGACUUCAUCCUUAUGUUCUGGCUUCACGACAAACCCUAUAGAGCCCUGCAAUCCACAAAAUGCCAUUUUGCGGCACCAGAAGGCUUCUCAACUCUCAGUGCAUCCAGGGGGAACUCCUAAAGAAGCUCUCUUCAACCAAGAUCCACAUCCGCGCGAGCAUGCAGAUGUGCUAUCUACAAGCUGCAGGGUAGGAGGUGAGGAUUGCAUGUUACCUACUUAUGCCUUGUGACUCCUCUUAGCAGCCCCUACACCUCUUGUCUUGAUUUUGCUGUGGGUUUUUCUUAUUAAAACAUGUUAAAGUAUUACACCACAUAUAUCUUAUUUUAUAGCUUUAACCUCCCU